AUUAUUUCAAUUGGAAUUUUAGUUGCAAUUUGCACUAAAUCUGAAUGUAAGACAUGGAAUGCUCAUUUGGAACUUGGCAGAUAAACCUUACUGAUAAAUCACUAGGCAUGUGCAUGGGGAAAAUUUUCGGUUUGGUUCGGCAUUCCGAAAUUCGGGACAUUCGCAAUUCGGGACUUCGGCAAUUUGCCACUUCAACACUUCGGAACUUUGGCAACUUCGGAACUUUGACACUUCAGCACUUCGGAGCGUCGGCACUUCGACACUUCGGAAAUUCGGCAACUUCGGCACUUCAACACUUCGGAACUUCGGAAUUUCGGAAUUUCUGCAUUUUGGAAUUUCGUGACUUCUGUACUUAGGGACUUGUCUUGCAGCCGCUUAGUAGAUAACUCCCU